ACCGAUCGAUCAACCUAAGCACAACACUGCUCGCCUCGCCAGAACACUCAUUGGAGCUUGAAGCCUGUAUGACAAUGUCUUCCACGAUGAAUACAAAGAACGGCCAAACCUCCAAAAAGAAGUUUUCUUCAGCAUGAGGUCCUGAGCAAAAGAAUCCAUGUAAAUAUCCUCAACUGUUGCACUGCUGUCGGAGUCGUAGUCUGGGAAAUUCAUGGAUAAUUUUCCAGAAAAUGCAUGCGACGAUUUCUUGUUACCCUCUUUUGUGUGUCUCCACGAGGAUGCAAGACCAGAAUCACCUCUCAUGCAAUUUUGUUUGGAAGAGUCAUGAAAGGAAUCAUUCACCUCCCUCAAUGAAGUGCUGGUCAAGAAAUUCAUUCCUUUCUUGGAAUCGCGAUUGUUGAGACACAUUGCAUCUUGACAAAAUCGGAGAGCAGCAAGAAGAAUUUUCCGAUGAAACUUCAGGAUUCUUUGAAGACCCAGGAGAACCCUGUUUAUGAACAGCAUGGGAACGCAAAGGUCGAUGGCAGCUGAAUCAGAAAGCAAGAAAAAUUAGAAUAUCUUUACCACAAGAAGAAAACUCUCAAGCAUCAACAUUCGACUGGAACUUUCCCAUCUGGUUCAGAAAUUAACGACAGGAAGAGUACUUUGCACUUUGCAUGUGGAUCGAAGAACAGAAUGAACACAGUAGUAAUAGAGUUCUUGAACUUACUGCACUUGGCAACUAGAUGCUUGAUGUGGUGAGUUGCCACAACUGGCGACUGGUCUGCACAGAUCACUCAAAGAAACAAGGUUCCCCUCUCUGAAGUCGUCGUUCAUGGCACCGAAAGAAAACGAAUGGCUUCUUCGAACAAGUACUCGAGAACAUGAAGGAGGUGUUUGUAGAGAAGUGCCACUUGCAUCCCUUGACCCCAGAGAUUUAAAUGAAAAAAGCCUCUUCAUUUACAAAGUUCUAUUUGAUUUCACUCCUGCAAGGCAUAGAAUUGUUUGUUUUAGGACUUCUCAUUGUUAUUACGUUUGAAUUCACUCUCAGGCCCAAACAGUCAGAGUCCUAAAACAAAAGAAAGGACAAGAAUUAGAUUGAGAUAACAAAGGGAUGUUAAGCAUCUUACAGACUAAGCUUAACAGAAUGGUGCAUAAAGAUCAAUUUGAAGAGACAUCAAAGUGCAGGAGAUACAAGGAUUUGUUAGUCCAAAGAACAAUUACAAGAAUUUGUUAGUCAAGUUUGAGGCAGCAGAAAAAUAAACUACAAAGUCAAUUCGAUCUUCAACAAAGAAAAGGAAGACUAAUUCAAGCAAGCAAGCAAAAAGAGAAUUCCUUUCAUUCUGAAAAAUUAGGCAAACCAAAGAGAAAAACCGCCUGCGCAAAGAGCAAACUUUUGGCGAGGAUUGGAAGAGGAGAGGAAGAAAGCUAAUCUACCGCACUCAACCUCUCUACUGCUUUCGAAUCACUCGGAGAGAGGAAAGCGAAGCGAAUUACCG